rnacentral:lncRNA from 1 species
UUGAGCAUUAUUUGGCACGUAUGAGAUCACCAAUCACUUCCCUAUAAAUAGAGCAACAUAUUUGCUUCAUUACCAAGCUUUGGAGAGCCAAAGAACCUCUGCUUUGCUCUCAAACUUUUCCAGAAAAUUGAGCUAUCAUGUUUUGAUUUCUAGCUUGUUUCAAUUCAAUUUCUUAAUUCUAAUAACACCUUUGGUCUCCUCUGAAGCUUUUGCAAUAAUUCCCAAGCUCUAAGACCUUCUGAAGUUCCC